GAGAGAGGAAGGGCGGGUGAGAGAGAGAGAGAGAUAUAUAUAAACACUAACAGCUUACAUUACACUCCUCACAUUCACCCAGCCUGAGGUGAGACAUGGGAGGUUUCCACAGAACCUGGCUGUGAAUCAAACUAGGGAGUAGGCUGUGAAUCAAACUAGGGAGUGGGCUGUGAAUCAAACUAGGGAGUAGGCUGUGAAUCAAACUAGGGAGUGGGCUGUGAAUCAAACUAGGGAGUGGGCUGGGAAUCAAACUAUGGAGUGGGCUGUGAAUCAAACUAUGGAUUGGGCUGUGAAUCAAACUAGGGAGUGGGCUGGGAAUCAAACUAUGGAGUGGGCUGUGAAUCAAACUAGGGAGUAGGCUGUGAAUCAAACUAGGGAGUGGGCUGUGAAUCAAACUAGGGAGUGGGCUGUGAAUCAAACUAGGGAGUGGGCUGGGAAUCAAACUAUGGAGUGGGCUGUGAAUCAAACUAGGGAUUGGGCUGUGAAUCAAACGAGGGAGUAGGCUGGGAAUCAAACUAUGGAGUGGGCUGUGAAUCAAACUAGGGAGUAGGCUGUGAAUCAAACUAGGGAGUAGGCUGUGAAUCAAACUAGGGAGUAGGCUGUGAAUCAAACUAGGGAGUAGGCUGUGAAUCAAACUAGGGAGUGGGCUGUGAAUCAAACUAGGGAGUAGGCUGUGAAUCAAACUAGGGAGUAGGCUGUGAAUCAAACUAGGGAGUUGGCUUUGAAUCAAACUAUGGAGUGGGCUGUGAAUCAAACGAGGGAGUAGGCGGUGCCAGUUUGCCACUCUCCCUCCUAAAUCUAACCCGAG
rnacentral:lncRNA from 1 species